AGUGUCUCCUAGACCUGAGGUUAUCCAUAUUUAUCUAGUGUCUCCUAGACCUGAGGUUAUCUAGUGUCUCCUAGACCUGAGGUUAUCUAGUGUCUCCUAGACCUGAGGUUAUCCAUAUUUAUCUAGUGUCUCCUAGACCUGAGGUUAUCUAGUGUCUCCUAGACCUGAGGUUAUCUAGUGUCUCCUAGACCUGAGGUUAUCCAUAUUUAUCUAGUGUCUCCUAGACCUGAGGUUAUCUAGUGUCUCCUAGACCUGAGGUUAUCUAGUGUCUCCUAGACCUGAGGUUAUCUAGUGUCUCCUAGACCUGAGGUUAUCUAGUGUCUCCUAGACCUGAGGUUAUCUAGUGUCUCCUAGACCUGAGGUUAUCUAGUGUCUCCUAGACCUGAGGUUAUCUAUAUUUAUCUAGUGUCUCCUAGACCUGAGGUUAUCUAGUGUCUCCUAGACCUGAGGUUAUCUAGUGUCUCCUAGACCUGAGGUUAUCUAGUGUCUCCUAGACCUGAGGUUAUCUAGUGUCUCCUAGACCUGAGGUUAUCUAGUGUCUCCUAGAC